rnacentral:lncRNA from 1 species
AAAAACUGGAUGGAAAAAUACAGAGAAAUUGUUAGCAGAUCUCAGAGAGCUGGAUGCCAUGACCACGUAGGUCGUCUUGUUUAAAUCAAGAGUGUCCAUAAAGAGAAUGCGUGCUCUCAGAUGAAGAAGGAUUAGCUCAUCUCACCCACAAAUUUGAAGUGCAAUGAGCUUGAGACAACAUGCAAGAGCGAUAUUAUCCUUUGACGUGCUAAUAACCAGAGCUUUCCUUGAGUCUGCUGCCCAUUGAAGCUCCCUCUCAUGGCAUCCCAAGGAGAACAACUUGCCCAUUUGCAGUUGUGCGACUGGACGUGGCUUCAGCACCACUGCAUCAAUCUAUGGUGGAAAGAUUGCAUGUGCUCUAUGUUUUAAGCAUCUUUGGGACACGUUUUCCAUCGUUGCAGAGGUACCUGUAUCUCCAGCUCUUCCGUUUUCUACGUAGCAGGCAUCUUUGAGUAAAAUCCUGACCUGAGCUCCUCUGAGCACUGCCUGAUGGCUGACAGCAGAAGGAACUGAGAAACAGUGAAGCACUGGGGAACCUGAUAAUAGAGAUGACACUGUGUGGAUAAAUGAAAGCUCACUAGAAUAAAAGAAGAAGAACUAGAUUUAACAGAUCAAAGACUGCUAGGCUUGAUCUUUGCUUGGCUCCAUGUUGACUCUAUGAAAGACACAUGUAUCAGGAAGGCUCACUAGAACUGUUGCUUCGGAACACAAAGGCCCCUCACCUGUUGUCUCUCAUCCUCUGCCAGCUGAUGCCAGACACUUCCAAAGAAGCUUUCAGGCUGUAUCAUUGGCACUUGUUAAAUUUUCAGCAUCUGGGAGAGGAAGGCUUCUCAGACAUAUGGAAACCAAGAAAAAGGGCCAUGAAUUUUUACUCAGACUAGAUUAAAAACGAUCUUUUUUACUCAGAGGAUUGAGUAGCAUG